GACGAACGCUGGCGGCAUGCCUAAUACAUGCAAGUCGAGCGAGCAGAUGAAGUGCUUGCACUUCUGACGUUAGCGGCGAACGGGUGAGUAACACGUAAGGAAUCUACCUAUAAGCGGGGGAUAACAUUCGGAAACGGGUGCUAAUACCGCAUAAUAUCUUCUUCCGCAUGGAAGAAGAUUGAAAGACGACUCUGCUGUCACUUAUAGAUGACCUUGCGGUGCAUUAGUUAGUUGGUGGGGUAACGGCCUACCAAGACGAUGAUGCAUAGCCGACAUGAGAGGGUGAUCGGCCACAUUGGGACUGAGACACGGCCCAAACUCCUACGGGAGGCAGCAGUAGGGAAUCUUCCGCAAUGGGCGAAAGCCUGACGGAGCAAUGCCGCGUGAGUGAAGAAGGCCUUCGGGUCGUAAAACUCUGUUAUAAGAGAAGAACAAAUUGUAGAGUAACUGCUACAGUCUUGACGGUAUCUUAUCAGAAAGCCACGGCUAACUACGUGCCAGCCGCCGCUGUAA
rnacentral:rRNA from 1 species